rnacentral:sRNA from 1 species
GUUGGGUGGAGGGCGGCAGGCUAGGAUCCAAAAGAGAGACGCGCGGGGAGAACGUGAAAGAGAAGCAAUGACUGGAGUGAGUUGAGGUUCCUCGGCUCGAGC